rnacentral:rRNA from 1 species
AUUGAACGCUGGCGGCAGGCCUAACACAUGCAAGUCUAACGAGUGGCGGACGGGUGAGUAAUUUCUGGGAAACUGCCUGAUGGAGGGGGAUAACUACUGGAAACGGUAGCUAAUACCGCAUACCAUCAGAUGUGCCCAGAUGGGAUGAGCUAGUUGGUGGGGUAACGGCUAACCAAGGCGACGAGCCCUAGCUGGUCUGAGCGGAUGACAAUCCACACUGGAACUGAGACACGGUCCAGACUCCUACGGGAGGCAGCAGUGGGGAAUAUUGCACAAGGGGCGCAAGCCUGAUGCAGCCAUGCCGAGUGUAUGAAGAAGGCCGUCGGGUUGUAAAGUACUUUCAGCGGGGAGGCGUUACUCGCAGAAGAAGCACCGGCUAACUCCGUGCCAGCAGCCGCGGUAAUAC